ensembl:snRNA U6 U6 spliceosomal RNA
AUGCUCGCUUCGGCAGCACAUAUACUAAGAUUGGAACGAUACAGAGAAGAUUAGCAUGGCCCCUGCGCAAGGAUGACGUGCAAAUUCGUGAAGCGUUCCAAAAAAAA